GUCUGUUCCCGCCGGGGCAACGUCUAGGUAUGUUCACAGGGUUGUGAGUUGUAUAACUCGGUAAAGAUUCCGUUGGGUGAACCAGCGGAGGGAUCAUUA
rnacentral:rRNA from 1 species